AUUGAACGCUGGCGGCAGGCCUAACACAUGCAAGUCGAACGGUAACAGGAAGAAGCUUGCUUCUUUGCUGACGAGUGGCGGACGGGUGAGUAAUGUCUGGGAAACUGCCUGAUGGAGGGGGAUAACUACUGGAAACGGUAGCUAAUACCGCAUAACGUCGCAAGACCAAAAAGGGGGACCUUCGGGCCUCUUGCCAUCGGAUGUGCCCAGAUGGGAUUAGCUAGUAGGUGGGGUAACGGCUCACCUAGGCGACGAUCCCUAGCUGGUCUGAGAGGACGACCAGCCACACUGGAACUGAGACACGGUCCAGACUCCUACGGGAGGCAGCAGUGGGGAAUAUUGCACAAUGGGCGCAAGCCUGAUGCAGCCAUGCCGCGUGUAUGAAGAAGGCCUUCGGGUUGUAAAGUACUUUCAGCGGGGAGGAAGGGAGUAAAGUUAAUACCUUUGCUCAUUGACGUUACCCGCAGAAGAAGCACCGGCUAACUCCGUG
rnacentral:rRNA from 1 species